GACGAACGCUGGCGGCGUGCUUAACACAUGCAAGUCGAACGGAAAGGCCCUGCUUUUGUGGGGUGCUCGAGUGGCGAACGGGUGAGUAACACGUGAGUAACCUGCCCUUGACUUUGGGAUAACUUCAGGAAACUGGGGCUAAUACCGGAUAGGAGCUCCUGCUGCAUGGUGGGGGUUGGAAAGUUUCGGCGGUUGGGGAUGGACUCGCGGCUUAUCAGCUUGUUGGUGGGGUAGUGGCUUACCAAGGCUUUGACGGGUAGCCGACCUGAGAGGGUGACCGGCGACAUUGGGACUGAGAUAGGGCCCAGACUCCUACGGGAGGCAGCAGUGGAGAAUAUUGCACAAUGGGCGGAAGCCUGAUGCAGCAACGCCGCGUGCGGGAUAACGGCCUUCGGGUUGUAAACCGCUGUCGACUGAGACGAAGCGUGAGUGACGGUAAUGGGUAAAGAAGCACCGGCUAACUACGUG
rnacentral:rRNA from 1 species